AUCCCGAAGAGGUUUUAGUGGGUAGGCGCCUUACCCUACGACAAGGUGAAUCCCACACUACCCGGGGAUGGUACCCCCGGGUGUCUUUGGAAGAUUUCCUCUCCG
rfam:Cyphomyrmex costatus contig14155, whole genome shotgun sequence.